rnacentral:rRNA from 1 species
AUUGAACGCUGGCGGCAGGCCUAACACAUGCAAGUCGAGCGAGCGGCGGACGGGUGAGUAAUGUAUGGGGACUGCCCGAUAGAGGGGGAUAACUACUGGAAACGGUGGCUAAUACCGCAUACUAUCGGAUAACCCAUAUGGGAUUAGCUAUGAGGUGGGGUAAAGGCUCGCCUAGGAGACGAUCUCUAGCUGGUCUGCGAGGAUGAUCACGCAGAUUGGAACUGUGACACGGCCCAGCCUCCCACGGAGGCAGCAGUAGGGAAUAUUCCACAAUGGGCGCAAGCCUGAUGGAGCCAAGCCGCGUGUAUGAAGAAGGCCUUAGGGUUGUAAAGUAAUUUCAUCGGGGAAGCGUUACCCGCAGAAGAAGCACCGGCUAACUCCGUGCCAGCAGCCGCGGUAAUUC